rnacentral:rRNA from 1 species
CAGUAGCCGCGGUAAAACAGAGGGUGCGAGCGUUAAUCGGAUUUACUGGGCGUAAAGCGUGCGUAGGCGGCUUCUUAAGUCGGAUGUGAAAUCCCUGAGCUUAACUUAGGAAUUGCAUUCGAUACUGGGAAGCUAGAGUAUGGGAGAGGAUGGUAGAAUUCCAGGUGUAGCGGUGAAAUGCGUAGAGAUCUGGAGGAAUACCGAUGGCGAAGGCAGCCAUCUGGCCUAAUACUGACGCUGAGGUACGAAAGCAUGGGGAGCAAACAGGAUUAGAUACCCCUGAGUCCCUGUCUCUUAUACA